rnacentral:lncRNA from 1 species
CCAAGUUCUGGCCUUUGCAUCCCUCUGAUGGUAGUUUCUAAAUAGAAUGAACUUUCCAAGUGACUAUAUUCUGACAUGACUUAUUAUACAAGGCUCAUAACCAGUAUAUAAAUGAAAAACACAGAAUUCCUAUUUCUUUCUCAGCUAUGCCACAGUGCUCAAGCAUGAGACUACUGAGCUCCAGUUACGCUGCGGGAAAAGGAUGCAAAUAUGACAUCUUCUACCUGUGUCCUCAAUGAUGGAGGGGAGAACUCUGACCUCUUCAGCCCUAUAUAAGGUACUAAUCUCAUGCAUGAAAGCUCUACCUUCAUGACCUAAUCACUUCCCAAACGACCUACUUCCCGAUACCCUAAAACUGGGGAUUCGAUUUUAACAUAUGAAUUCUGGGGGGACACAAGCAUUUGGUCUAUAGCAGUCACACCUCCAGCAAAUGGCAGGGUCACACAGAUCUUGGACAAGAUAUCAUCCUGCCUUCCAGAACAAAUAUCCAAACGUUUCUCCUGAGGCACAACCACAUUGGAACAUCAAUGAAAACUUUGGAUGAGCCAAGUCACAUUAACUACUUCUCCUCUAUAGAAAACACAUUUCUCUAUUAGAUUUAACUUGAAGAGAGAUAACAGUUGCAAUGUUAAGUUGAAAUUUUGAUUCAGGGGUCUCAGAUUUCUAUAAUUUAAACUAAUGAACUAUCUAGGUGCCUUAGCAAUAGAGCAGAAGAAAGCAAGAAGUAGAAAUGAAUAAGACAAAACAAUAUAUUUGCAAGUGAUUGGCUUUGUUAGACUUUGAUUGUGACUGAUAAUUUGAAUUUCAUUUUUAAUGUUGAUGUAUAGCCCGUUUAUCACAAAUCAUUGUAGAUAGUUACAUACAAUGAAUUUUUUUUUUUCAUUUGGGUAAAAUCUAUCUUGUUGCUAUGGUGAUAGCUAUUAUAAAAUGAGUAAGAUAAAAUUAAGACCACUACAUUCCCAGAGUAAAAUCAAUCAGGUGAUACUGGAAAAGUCGGCAUUUGUCAUUUUGUAUAUUAUUAGCUCUGAAAUAAAAUUGUGUUUUCUCUAAAAAG